AUGUAUAUUAGUACAUCACUCAGUACUAACCAGAGCACGGUCGUAGUAAACUAUAGUUUAUUACUUCCAUUCAAAUCAAUUAACUUAAAACGCAAAUACGCCACCUAGUUUUAUAGAAAUAAAAUAAAAACACUGCCUUGUUAUCAAAAUUAAUUACAACACGGAUCCAGUAUCCACGUACAUUUACAUCAUCGUUGUAGUUUCUUAGAAGUCUACUAUUACACGUUUCUAUUUAGGUAAUACACCUUGCGUGUAAGUGUUUAAUUAUUUUGAAAGGUCAACGAAAAAUAAUAAUUAUACUGUAAAGUCAUAAUGGCUUAUGAUCAGUGCAAAUAUAUUAUAUACUGCAGACUUGUGAAAUAGUAAUAACAAAUCUUAGUAUAACAUAGUUUUGAUUGAAGUGUUAAUAGUUAAUAUGACCAUUAAUAUUAAACAAAUGGAUGCUACCCAUAGACAACAUUAUUUAGAGAAAAACGAUGCUUGUCACUUUACGUGAACUUCUGAUCAAUAAAGAAACUAACAUUUAAACAAGAAUGAAAGAAAUGCAAUUAUGUUGCGAUUAAGAGGAUGCAACACGGACAUUUGUUGUCUCCGUCUUACAAGUGCGUAACAUAGAAAAUUUUAGUAAUAUAUGUCAAGGCCGUAACUGGUUGGGGGGGAGGGUCACAGGGGUCCUGCAGACUUUAACUUUGAGUCUUGCUAGAUCAGUGAUUCCCAUCAUUUUUUACUCAAAACCUUUUAGAUUUUCAAAAA